AUGCGACUUGCCAAGUUUGCAACUCAUGGAUCUGUCCAGCAACUCUUUCAGUGGUGUAGUUCCGUACUCGAGGAUAACUAUAUAGACCUAGCCAAUAAUCAUUUCAUAGGAACCUUUCCUUUGGGUCUUGAGAAAUGUAGAAACCUGAUCACUCUAGAUCUUGGAGAUAACAAUUUCUCAGGUACAAUACCGUCUUGGAUAAGCAGGAGCUUGCCUGGACUCAAAUUUCUCCGUCUGUCAUCAAACAAGUUUGAAGGUGCCAUACCCCUCCAGAUAUUACACUUUCACAAACUCCAACUAUUGGACUUGACAAAAAACAAACUCACUGGACCCGUUCCAGAUGAUUUUACGAAUUUUACUGGCAUGGCACAUGAACAGAAAUACACUAACUAUAUAGAUGCUGGCUACAACUCGCAUCCGCAAAUUCAAAUAGUUUGGAAGAAUGUCAAUUAUGUUUACAUUAUUGUGGUAGCAGGCAUGGUGGGUAUCGACUUAUCUGGAAACUUUCUUUCACAAGGUAUCCCUAAUGGGCUUACAACCCUUCUUGGACUCAGGUACCUGAACUUAUCUAGAAAUCAUCUGUCAGGUUUCAUUCCUGAAGACAUUGGCAAUCUAGUAUUGCUGGAAUCCUUGGACCUUUCAGGUAACCAACUCUCGGGGAAAAUUCCUGCAAGCUUUGCGGGUCUGAGGAGCAUGACCGUGCUGAACCUCUUGAGCAACACUCUAUCAGGGAGGAUACCUACAGGCAACCAGCUGCAGACGCUUGAUGACCCGUCAAUACACAGCAACAAUUCUGGGCUGUGUGGAUUCCCGUUGAAGGAGUGUGUAAACUCGUCGACACCGACGCAAAAUGAAGCAAGCCAGGAUGAAGAUAGAGAGGCAUUGUGGUUGUAUUGCUUUGUGGCUGCUGGGUUCAUCUUUGGGUUCUGGCUGUACUGGGGCAUCUUCUUAUUUCGCAGCGGGACCUGGAGAUGUGCUUUCUAUCAGUAUGUGGACAACAUGCAAGUAAAGGUAAUCAAGAAGAUGUACAGCUGCAUGUCGCGCUUCCAGGCAAGCAGCUCUGAAGGAUGA
rnacentral:rRNA from 1 species